AGCGUACACGGUGGAUGCCCUGGCAGUCAGAGGCGAUGAAGGGCGUGCUAAUCUGCGAUAAGCGCCGGUAAGGUGAUAUGAACCGUUAUAACCGGCGAUACCCGAAUGGGGAAACCCAGUGUGAUUCGUCACACUAUCAUUAACUGAAUCCAUAGGUUAAUGAGGCGAACCGGGGGAACUGAAACAUCUAAGUACCCCGAGGAAAAGAAAUCAACCGAGAUUCCCCCAGUAGCGGCGAGCGAACGGGGAGGAGCCCAGAGCCUGAAUCAGCAUGUGUGUUAGUGGAAGCGUCUGGAAAGGCGCGCGAUACAGGGUGACAGCCCCGUACACAAAAGCGCAUGUGCUGUGAGCUCGAUGAGUAGGGCGGGACACGUGGUAUCCUGUCUGAAUAUGGGGGGACCAUCCUCCAAGGCUAAAUACUCCUGACUGACCGAUAGUGAACCAGUACCGUGAGGGAAAGGCGAAAAGAACCCCGGCGAGGGGAGUGAAAAAGAACCUGAAACCGUGUACGUACAAGCAGUGGGAGCACAGGUUUACCUGUGUGACUGCGUACCUUUUGUAUAAUGGGUCAGCGACUUAUAUUCUGUAGCAAGGUUAACCGAAUAGGGGAGCCGGAGGGAAACCGAGUCUUAAUUGGGCGUUAAGUUGCAGGGUAUAGACCCGAAACCCGGUGAUCUAGCCAUGGGCAGGUUGAAGGUUGGGUAACACUAACUGGAGGACCGAACCGACUAAUGUUGAAAAAUUAGCGGAUGACCUGUGGCUGGGGGUGAAAGGCCAAUCAAACCGGGAGAUAGCUGGUUCUCCCCGAAAGCUAUUUAGGUAGCGCCUCGUGAAUUCAUCUCCGGGGGUAGAGCACUGUUUCGGCUAGGGGGCCAUCCCGGCUUACCAACCCGAUGCAAACUGCGAAUACCGGAGAAUGUUAUCACGGGAGACACACGGCGGGUGCUAACGUCCGUCGUGAAGAGGGAAACAACCCAGACCGCCAGCUAAGGUCCCAAAGUCAUGGUUAAGUGGGAAACGAUGUGGGAAGGCCCAGACAGCCAGGAUGUUGGCUUAGAAGCAGCCAUCAUUUAAAGAAAGCGUAAUAGCUCACUGGUCGAGUCGGCCUGCGCGGAAGAUGUAACGGGGCUAAACCAUGCACCGAAGCUGCGGCAGCGAACGUAUCACCCAAGACAACUUUACGGAGUUGACGAUUGACGGAGCGAAGCGACGUCAAAGCGUUCAUUAAAGUCGAGUUGGCUUAGGGAUACGUUCGUUGGGUAGGGGAGCGUUCUGUAAGCCUGUGAAGGUGUGUCGUGAGGCAUGCUGGAGGUAUCAGAAGUGCGAAUGCUGACAUAAGUAACGAUAAAGCGGGUGAAAAGCCCGCUCGCCGGAAGACCAAGGGUUCCUGUCCAACGUUAAUCGGGGCAGGGUGAGUCGACCCCUAAGGCGAGGCCGAAAGGCGUAGUCGAUGGGAAACGGGUUAAUAUUCCCGUACUUGGUGUUACUGCGAAGGGGGGACGGAGAAGGCUAUGUUGGCCGGGCGACGGUUGUCCCGGUUUAAGCGUGUAGGUGUGUGUUCCAGGUAAAUCCGGUUCACUUUAACACUGAGGCGUGAUGACGAGGCACUACGGUGCUGAAGCAACAAAUGCCCUGCUUCCAGGAAAAGCCUCUAAGCAUCAGGUAACAUCAAAUCGUACCCCAAACCGACACAGGUGGUCAGGUAGAGAAUACCAAGGCGCUUGAGAGAACUCGGGUGAAGGAACUAGGCAAAAUGGUGCCGUAACUUCGGGAGAAGGCACGCUGACACGUAGGUGAAGUGAUUUACUCACGGAGCUGAAGUCAGUCGAAGAUACCAGCUGGCUGCAACUGUUUAUUAAAAACACAGCACUGUGCAAACACGAAAGUGGACGUAUACGGUGUGACGCCUGCCCGGUGCCGGAAGGUUAAUUGAUGGGGUCAGCGCAAGCGAAGCUCCUGAUCGAAGCCCCGGUAAACGGCGGCCGUAACUAUAACGGUCCUAAGGUAGCGAAAUUCCUUGUCGGGUAAGUUCCGACCUGCACGAAUGGCGUAAUGAUGGCCAGGCUGUCUCCACCCGAGACUCAGUGAAAUUGAACUCGCUGUGAAGAUGCAGUGUACCCGCGGCAAGACGGAAAGACCCCGUGAACCUUUACUAUAGCUUGACACUGAACAUUGAGCCUUGAUGUGUAGGAUAGGUGGGAGGCUUUGAAGUGUGGACGCCAGUCUGCAUGGAGCCGACCUUGAAAUACCACCCUUUAAUGUUUGAUGUUCUAACGUGGACCCGUAAUCCGGGUUGCGGACAGUGUCUGGUGGGUAGUUUGACUGGGGCGGUCUCCUCCUAAAGAGUAACGGAGGAGCACGAAGGUUGGCUAAUCCUGGUCGGACAUCAGGAGGUUAGUGCAAUGGCAUAAGCCAGCUUGACUGCGAGCGUGACGGCGCGAGCAGGUGCGAAAGCAGGUCAUAGUGAUCCGGUGGUUCUGAAUGGAAGGGCCAUCGCUCAACGGAUAAAAGGUACUCCGGGGAUAACAGGCUGAUACCGCCCAAGAGUUCAUAUCGACGGCGGUGUUUGGCACCUCGAUGUCGGCUCAUCACAUCCUGGGGCUGAAGUAGGUCCCAAGGGUAUGGCUGUUCGCCAUUUAAAGUGGUACGCGAGCUGGGUUUAGAACGUCGUGAGACAGUUCGGUCCCUAUCUGCCGUGGGCGCUGGAGAACUGAGGGGGGCUGCUCCUAGUACGAGAGGACCGGAGUGGACGCAUCACUGGUGUUCGGGUUGUCAUGCCAAUGGCACUGCCCGGUAGCUAAAUGCGGAAGAGAUAAGUGCUGAAAGCAUCUAAGCACGAAACUUGCCCCGAGAUGAGUUCU
rnacentral:rRNA from 1 species